rnacentral:rRNA from 1 species
AUUGAACGCUGGCGGCAGGCUUAACACAUGCAAGUCGAGCGGGGACUUCGGUCCUAGCGGCGAACGGGUGAGGAAUGCUUGGGAAUCUGCCCAGUAGCGGGGGAUAACGUUUCGAAAGGAACGCUAAUACCGCAUACGCCCUACGGGGGAAAGGGGGGGAUCUUCGGACCUCUCACUAUUGGAUGAGCCCAAGUCGGAUUAGCUAGUUGGUGGGGUAAAGGCCUACCAAGGCGACGAUCCGUAGCUGGUCUGAGAGGAUGAUCAGCCACACUGGAACUGAGACACGGUCCAGACUCCUACGGGAGGCAGCAGUGGGGAAUAUUGGACAAUGGGCGAAAGCCUGAUCCAGCCAUGCCGCGUGUGUGAAGAAGGCCUUCGGGUUGUAAAGCACUUUAAGCGAGGAGGAAUGGCUCUGGGUUAAUACCCUUGAGCAGUGACGUUACUCGCAGAAUAAGCACCGGCUAACUCUGUGCCAGCAGCCGCAGUAAAAC